UGAAAACAUGUUUACAAACAAAAUUUAUUGUGCGCUGGGCAUUAUUCACAACGCACAAUGAGUUUUGUUUGUAAAUAUGUUUU
rnacentral:pre_miRNA from 1 species